rnacentral:rRNA from 1 species
UACGUAGGGUGCAAGCGUUGUCCGGAAUUAUUGGGCGUAAAGAGCUCGUAGGCGGUCUGUUGCGUCCGCUGUGAAAACUCGGGGCUUAACCCCGAGCCUGCAGUGGAUACGGGCAGACUAGAGGUAGGUAGGGGAGAUCGGAAUUCCUGGUGUAGCGGUGAAAUGCGCAGAUAUCAGGAGGAACACCGGUGGCGAAGGCGGAUCUCUGGGCCGAUACUGACGCUGAGGAGCGAAAGCGUGGGGAGCGAACAGG